GCUAAAACGACACCAGAAUAUUGGUUAUCAAUUAAAAACUCCCACAUUGUGUUUAUCUUUGAUUGAUAGUAAGAAAUCAGAACAAAGGGAAAGGAGGUUAGCUCUAAAGAGCUAACGAGCUCCCCUAUAGAGGAGCUCAUGUAUGACUAACUCAAAGGCAAAUGAAUAGUCAAUUAGGUUUACGCCGAUAAGAAUUGAAUUAGUCUCCACAUAAUACGGGUUAUACCGAAUUACAAAUAUAUUUACUAUGUUCUUAUAUGUAUACAUAUGUACGUUAGUAAACUUGAGCCACAAACCAGGCUCGCAAUCGGAAGCAGAACUCAGAACUAUUCUUCUGCUGACCCGCAUCAUUCACAAAAAGAAUACAAAUCUAUUUACCUUAACUAAUAGUAUUCGUUUCACUUUGAUCUUAUAGUAUAAAAAACACCACAACAGGAGUCAGUAAUAAUAUUUCAAUAGCGCUAUCUAAUUGUAUUACUUUUAUAUGUUAAUAAAGUUUUUUACGAACAAAAGGAAUAAUAAAACAAUGCAAAAA